UUCACUCAACUAAAUGGUUGCUGUGGCUGCAAGACAAGCUUUAUUAAACACAAUUGUGUUACAACAUUGUGUUUCUUCAUCUGUCUUUCAGAUAGUAUAGCAAAGACAAGUGCUAUCUGGUCUUAGAAGCAGGAAGCAUGACAGUAACAAACAAACAAUAGUCUUUUUAUGUGUUUGUCCUUUCUAUGUGCUCCAGCCUCAGAACGUAAGUUCUCUCAUGUUCAACAGUUGCCGCUUGCGUCGAUCCCGUCGUAUGAAUGUAUGUAUGAGUGAGCAAAAAUGUAAGAGUGAAAGGAGGAUGAGUGAGAGAGAGGGGCUGGUUUGUCCCUUCAGCCCAGGCAAAAAUCUGGACUGGUUCCAGAAUGGUUCCAUUUGAAUCUGGACUGGUUCCAUUUGAAUGUGGAUGGCUCCGGAAUGGUUCCAGUUGAAUCUUGGUGGUCCCAGCUGGAUUCGCAAGUGGGGUGGCUGGUUCCACAUUGGUGAAGUCAGUGGUACCACUCUGGCCUCAAAUGGUUCCAGAAUUUACAGUGGGAGCCUCACAGGUACCAUUUUGUUCCCACAAUGGUCAAUUGAACCACUUUAGAUUCCAAGCUGGGCAGCUUCCCCCUUUGAGAUCCGUCAGGGGAAGAAGAGUCCACUCUUGCCAUAUACCCUUUUGUUUUUUUGUUUCUUUGCUUUUUAGCCAUUAUUUUGAUGUAUUUUAGCACACGUAUGAUCUAUAUUUCUGGGUUUUUUAUCCGUUUACGUCUUCGAUAAAAUAUACGCUGUAACUUCAAUUCGUGCUCAUAUUCUCAUCUAAAGGCAAAUGUCAUAAAAUGUACCAGCAAGAUGCCAAAAGACACAAUCUAAAGAUGACACACUCCGCCAAAUAAUUAGAAGAACUAAAAACAAAGAGGUAAUUGCACGGGCUGACCCAAAGCGGAUGCAAUAAUUAUGAGGGCGCUCCGGUGCGACGGGAGGCUUUCAAUUCAAAUUCUAACGGCGGGCCGCGAGAGGGAGCAGAGAGAGCGCGUCAGUUGGAACUUGACGCGUCGUUGCGAGGUCGUUUAUUUCUCUUCGGUUGCCGUGGCAGAUAUCGGGCAUCUCCUGUGCACUAUUUACGUGGUUUUAGUGCGUUUUCUACGACAACGUGAUGACAAUGAGUCAUGUGAAACAUAUUGGCGAUAUCUCGGAGAAGUUUCGACGCUAGGAAGACACAGCGUCCGCAGAAGAACCGGACGAUGAAACGCCAAACGGACUGCACAGAAUGCUUCUUCCGAUUUUAUGAGGAGCUAGAGGAACCUGAGAAACAUGGUUAAGACGAGUAUAAAGAUUAGGAUCGUUUGGUGAAGAGGAAAAUGGUAUAUGCCGCGACCUACAUGGACGGAGGUGUCAUCUUCUCUGAGAAAAUACAGGUGUGAGGUGGUCAACAAAACGCCAUGUUCCCUGUUGUCCGUGAGUGCAUCGCAAAUUCAACGCAAGCACAUGCCUCGUCUGAACGCAGUGAGUGAUUACCCGUGUGCGACUUAGUACGUGAGAGAUGUAUCGAUUAUUUCUUUAUCCUUAGUGUAUGCUCAUAGCAGAAUAAACAAUAUUUACUUCAACAGUA